AGUAAAUAGACAUUUUACUAGCUAAAAAUUAUGUUAAUAUCUCAUUUCCACAAAAGCGAUUGAACUGUAUGUACGUGAUCUGAGCGCCAUCUGGUAAUAAUGUGCGCUCAGAUCUAAGCUAUCUGGGGAUAGGUAGAAUGUGUAUGUUCUAUGUGAUAAAUGUAACCUGGUGUAUUUUAUUGUAUUUUACGGUCUUUUUACUGCCAUGUGCUUAAUGGAGUUUUGCCUCUGUCCUUGGAGAUAAUUGGAUUACUUGCCAAUUAUCUCCAGGAUAGAAGACUCUGUGGAUAUGUAAAUAUGCAUAAUACUAUCAAAAAUUAAUAUACAUAUAAAAUGGUUGAAUAUUUUGAAUCAAACCCUAUCCAUCUCUGAAUUUUUGAAACUGAAUCUCUCUAAAACAGCUUCUUCUUUUUUCUUCUCAUAACACUGAUCCUCCUUUCACUUUCCCUGCAAGUUAAUACCACCUGCAACCCGUCCUUGCAAGCUCCCGGUCUUUGUUUUAUUGACUCUGGCUUCACGUCCAGUCUGUUGCCAAAACCUGUCCACCAGAGAAACAUUGCCAGCGCCUGCCCCUUUUGUACACAAGAUGCUGCCAUGAGCUUGUUCAUGCUCUAGUCCAGGCAUAGGCAACCUUUGGCACUCCACAUGUUUUGGACUACACCUCCCAUGAUGCUUUGCCAGCAUUAUGGGUGUCAGAGCAUUAUGGGGGAUGUAGUACACAACAUCUGGAGUGCCGAAUGUUGCCUAACCCUGCUCUAGUCAUUCCUUUCACUGAUUACUGUAAUUCUCAUUUAUUGCUAAAGUCUCCCUUUUUAUAAUAUUGUAACGUGCUGAGGUAUAAGUUGGUGCUAUCAUAGGCGGGCACACCCUAAUCCCCGCGGCACGACUAUGAAUUGAGUUCCUGCACUUUUUUUUUUGAGCAGGAACGCCAUUCCUGCAG